AUUGCAGACUUAUCUUAUCGACUUGUUUUAACAAGUAGGAAAGUCCGGACACCAAAGAGUAAUCAUAGCGGAUAACAUCCGUCCAACGUGAGUUGAGGACCAGUGCAACAGAAAGAAUGUACAGUUCGGCUGUAGUGAAACCAGGUAAACUCUAUGAGGUGCAAUGCCAUGUAAAUUAGAGCUUGAGGGCUACUCGCUCGAUUCUAAAGGGUAGGCAGGUAGAUUCUAAGAGUAAUUUUAGAACUAGAUAAAUGAUAAGAGCCUUUUUAAGGAACAGGAUUCGGCUUAUUAGUCUGCAUUUUCU
rfam:Polaribacter sp. SA4-12 genome.